rnacentral:rRNA from 1 species
UACAGAGGGUGCAAGCGUUGUUCGGAAUUACUGGGCGUAAAGCGCGUGUAGGCGGCUUAUUAAGUCGGACGUGAAAUCCCUUGGCUUAACCAAGGAACUGCGUCCGAUACUGUUAGGCUUGAGUGUCGGAGGGGGUGGCGGAAUUCCCGGUGUAGAGGUGAAAUUCGUAGAUAUCGGGAGGAACACCUGUGGCGAAGGCGGCCACCUGGAAGACAACUGACGCUGAGACGCGAAAGCGUGGGGAGCAAACAGG